rnacentral:rRNA from 1 species
AACGAACGCUGGCGGCAGGCUUAACACAUGCAAGUCGAGCGCCCCGCAAGGGGAGCGGCAGACGGGUGAGUAACGCGUGGGAAUCUACCCAUCUCUACGGAAUAACGCAUGGAAACGUGUGCUAAUACCGUAUACGUCCUUCAGGAGAAAGAUUUAUCGGAGAUGGAUGAGCCCGCGUUGGAAUAGCUAGUUGGUGGGGUAAAGGCCUACCAAGGCGACGAUCCAUAGCUGGUCUGAGAGGAUGAUCAGCCACACUGGGACUGAGACACGGCCCAGACUCCUACGGGAGGCAGCAGUGGGGAAUAUUGGACAAUGGGCGCAAGCCUGAUCCAGCCAUGCCGCGUGAGUGAUGAAGGCCCUAGGGUUGUAAAGCUCUUUCACCGGUGAAGAUAAUGACGGUAACCGGAGAAGAAGCCCCGGCUAACUUCGUGCCAGCAGCAGCCGCCGUAA